rnacentral:rRNA from 1 species
GUGAGGAAUAUUGGUCAAUGGGCGGGAGCCUGAACCAGCCAAGUCGCGUGAAGGAAGAAGGAUCUAUGGUUCGUAAACUUCUUUUGCAGGGGAAUAAAGUGCAGGACGUGUCCUGUUUUGUAUGUACCCUGAGAAUAAGGAUCGGCUAACUCCGUGCCAGCAGCCGCGGUAAUACGGAGGAUCCGAGCGUUAUCCGGAUUUAUUGGGGUUAAAUGGUGCGUAGGUGGUUUGAUAAGUCAGCGGUGAAAGUUUGCAGCUUAACUGUAAAAAUGCCGUUGAAACUGUCGGACUUGAGUGUAAAUGAGGUAGGCGGAAUGCGUGGUGUAGCGGUGAAAUGCAUAGAUAUCACGCAGAACUCCGAUUGCGAAGGCAGCUUACUAAGCUACAACUGACACUGAAGCACGAAAGCGUGGGGAUCAAACAGGAUUAGAUACCCCGGUAGUCC